rnacentral:rRNA from 1 species
GGUCAAGUUAUUAAGGGUGCAGGGCGGAUGCCUUGGCACUAGGAGCCGAUGAAGGACGUGAUAAGCUGCGAUAAGCUUCGGGGAGUUGCACGUAAACUUUGAUCCGAAGAUUUCCGAAUGAGGAAACUCACUUAGAGUAAUGUCUAAGUAUCAUUAAGUGAAUACAUAGCUUAAUGAGGGGAACUCAGGGAACUGAAACAUCUAAGUACCUGAAGGAAGAGAAAGAAAUUCGAUUCCGUAAGUAGCGGCGAGCGAACGCGGAUUAGCCCAAACCAAUAAAGUUUUCUUUAUUGGGGUUGCGGACAUAUCAUAACGAAGAGGUAUCGUAAUUGAAGAGGUUUGGAAAGACCCACCACAGAAGGUAAUAGUCCUGUAUGUUAAACGAGAAGACUUUAGAUAUGAUCCAGAGUACCACGGGACACGUGAAACCCUGUGGGAAGCAGGAGGGACCACCCUCCAAGGCUAAAUACUACCUAGUGACCGAUAGCGUAUAGUACCGUGAGGGAAAGGUGAAAAGAACCCCGGGAGGGGAGUGAAAUAGAACCUGAAACCCUGCACUUACAAGCUGUGGAAGCACAUUUCUUGUGUGACCGCGUACUUUUUGUAGAACGGGCCAACGAGUUACGUUAAGUAGCAAGGUUAAGCACUUAAGGUGCGGAGCCGUAGCGAAAGCGAGUUUUAACUGAGCGUUCAGUUACUUGACGUAGACCCGAAACCGGGCGACCUACCCAUGAGCAGGAUGAAGCGAAAGUAAAAUUUCGUGGAGGUCCGAACCCACGAGCGUUGAAAAGCUCGGGGAUGACUUGUGGGUAGCGGUGAAAUUCCAAUCGAGCCCGGAGAUAGCUGGUUCUCCCCGAAAUAGCUUUAGGGCUAGCCUCAAGGUGAGAGAUACGGAGGUAGAGCACUGAAUGUCCUAGGGGGUAUUGCACCUACCGAAGACUAUCAAACUCCGAAUGCCGUCAU